rnacentral:lncRNA from 1 species
GGGGUCGUGUGAGGUUCAUGUAUUGUCUUGGCGUCCGCAAUUACAAAAAGAUAUAAUCUGAAAUUACUUGACCAAAUGUUACCAAAUGAUUUUUCAAGAGUGAAUCUAGGAAAAACAAUAUUCAUCAACAAACAUGACCACUGUCUGUUAAAAUGUAUUCGAGUUUUUAGUUACAGCCGAUUCCAUUGAGUAUGUAGGCAGGG